AACACUCACUACACCACCAUGAAUCUUCUUCUCCUCCUUUUCUUCUUGUUCAUCAUCUCUUCAUCCAACACCACCAUAUCCUUAUCCUUCUUUCAUCUCCUCACCACCAACACGUCAUUAACAACACCAAUCAAAAGAAAAAGUAAAAAUCAGAUCUACAAAUUUGGGGAUUAAUUGAAUUUUUGCAAAAUUUGUACAUAAUCAAACACAAGACACCCAUCAACCUAAACAUCACAUGAACCCCAUAGACCUCCGUCUGCAAAACCACCACCAACCACCUUUCCCUUGCUUCUCCUUCCUCCGGUUCAGCACAGUACAAACCUAUAACUUCUCUCAACAAACAUACUAGUAUACUACUCAAAACUAAACAAAACAAAUAUAAAAGGAGAAAAAAUUCAUGAAACCUAAUUCAUAUCUCAAUGAAGAAGAUGAAACCCAAAUUCUGCCUCAACUCAAUGUAUUUCAAAAAUCCGUUCAUGAACGAACUAGAACCCAAAUGAUUAGAUCUAGAGAAAGAGAAGAGGUGACGAUGGUGUUUGAGAUGGAGAAGAGGUAAUAGAGAGAAGGAGAUUUAAUGAGAGUGUGAAUUUUUAAAUUUGGAGAGAAGUUGUUGAAACUGGAAACUGAAAUUGAAAUCUAGAGGAGUGGGAGGAGAUAGAAGAAGUUGUGAGUGG
rnacentral:lncRNA from 1 species